AAAAAAAGCCCCUCUUCUCCCUGUUUUUGCUUAUCACCUAUUUCUGGAAACCGGCCUUGGGAUCUCAUGGCCCGGCAGCACAGCUGCUUUGGAGAAUGUUGUUGGAGUAGGCUCCUCCCUAAACAGACUCCCCUGGCUUCGGGAAUAUGAACCGGGAUCGGCCAGACAGGUGUAUCCUUACGUUCAUAACCAGAAGUGGCUACAACCAAACUGUUAACAUUUUGUCUAACUGGUGCCCUGCUGGGCAACUCUGUAGACGGAGGAAUGCUGUUGGCAAAACUCGUUGCCGCCCAGAACUCUGCCUAAAGUUGAGCUUGAGCCUUUGUUUUUUUCUGUUGUAACUUGGAGGAAUUUAAAGCUGUAUUCUAAGUUCCCGGAUGUCUUUUUUCUCCCUCUAUGUCUAUGUCAGGCAGAAAUAAGUAAGGUCUUGUGUAUGAACCAACAGAUUUCCAGAGAUUUUGACCAUAGGGAAGCUGGGGAGAAAGCUGAGGGGCAAUGACAAGUAGGAUUUUGUGCCUUGCCUCCCUUUGGCCUCACUGAGACGAUCAUGGUUGUUGCAGAAACCCACACCCACAGACAGCCCUUUGACCCAUUUCCACCCACAUAGAAGGGAAUCCAGAGAACUUUCCUGCCUUCUGGACGUGAAGAGAACAGCUGAGUUGAAAUGCCCUUCUGUGGAUUGCUGAAAAAAAGGAAAACAGCUGAAAGAUGGAAGUUCUGUUCCCUUUUUGGAAACAUGCAGUUGUGUUGCCUCGUUGGAGAAGCCCAGUCGACGCGGGGAGGGCUUGCAGACACAGGCGGAAGCCAGCAGGGAGAGGAUGCGGAGGUGGCCCGGGGAAGCCCCUGCAGUGGCCAGCCUGGCCCGCCUGCCAGCUCGGUGGACACAGGAGCUGAGUGUGAGAAGCAGGCAGAAGCUGAGGCCGAGCCGGGCACGGCUUUCUAGAUUAGCUCUCUGCAGCUUCCCUGUUUGGAUUGGCCCGAAGCUGGCACAGGAGGCUCAGCCAGCUUUCCAAGGGGAAGCCGGUCUGCCAGCCGGGCAGGGACGGUGCCUCCCAGCGCCCUCUGCCCUCCUACCUUGCCCAGGUUGCGGCAGCUCGUGCAUAAAUGGGGCAGCGCGUCCACGUCUCUCCUUCCCUCUGCACAAAUUGGAAAUGACUAACCUUGCCAUAUUUAGUGCAGCGCUAACGGCCACUCGCCUCUGAGGGGUAAUCAUGCAGGCAUAAAUUCGGAAAGUUGCUAAGCUAUGAGCAGUCUUAUGAGCAUUAAAAGUGUCCUCUUUGCCAGAAAGGUCAUUCAUAACUUGGCUACCCUGCUGAUGUACAGUCAGUGAUAUUGAUUGAUUAAUGUAUGAAAGCACUGGAUCCAUUUGCUUCUAUGAAAGAGAAUAAAGUGCAGUCGACUCCCUCUUUAUUUUCACCUCAUCCUUUUGUUUGAAGGACAUUUUCCCCCUUCUUUUUGUUUUGCCGGCUAGGUUUAAGGGGGUUACAAAAAGCCAGUUUCUGCCAAGUAAUGUGUUCACAAAGAGAACAUUGAUUCACAUCAGUGUCGCUUGAAUUACCCUUAAAGGUUUGCCAAGGAGCUGCUCUUAUAUUAACCUUCUGUUCGUGGAGGAAGAAAUAAAUAAAUAAGUCAUAAAGUCAAA